AUUGAACGCUGGCGGCAGGCCUAACACAUGCAAGUCGAGCGGCAGCGGGUCCUUCGGGAUGCCGGCGAGCGGCGGACGGGUGAGUAAUGCCUAGGAAUCUGCCUGGUAGUGGGGGAUAACGUUCGGAAACGGACGCUAAUACCGCAUACGUCCUACGGGAGAAAGUGGGGGAUCUUCGGACCUCACGCUAUCAGAUGAGCCUAGGUCGGAUUAGCUAGUUGGUGGGGUAAAGGCUCACCAAGGCGACGAUCCGUAACUGGUCUGAGAGGAUGAUCCGUCACACUGGAACUGAGACACGGUCCAGACUCCUACGGGAGGCAGCAGUGGGGAAUAUUGGACAAUGGGCGAAAGCCUGAUCCAGCCAUGCCGCGUGUGUGAAGAAGGUCUUCGGAUUGUAAAGCACUUUAAGUUGGGAGGAAGGGCAGCUAGUUAAUACCUGGUUGUUUUGACGUUACCAACAGAAUAAGCACCGGCUAACUUCGUGCCAGCAGCCGCCGUAAGAC
rnacentral:rRNA from 1 species